CUAUACAUGCAAGUCGAACGGUUGGUAGCAAUACCAAUAGUGGCGCACGGGUGCGUAACGCGUAACCAACCUACCCAAAACUGGGGGAUAGCCCGCCGAAAGGCGGAUUAAUACCGCAUAAAACCACAGACUGGCAUCAGUUAAUGGUUAAAGAUUUAUUGGUUUUGGAUGGGGUUGCGUGCCAUUAGCUAGUUGGGGGGGUAACGGCCCACCAAGGCGACGAUGGCUAGGGGAGCUGAGAGGCUGGUCCCCCACACGGGCACUGAGAUACGGGCCCGACUCCUACGGGAGGCAGCAGUAGGGAAUAUUGGGCAAUGGCCGAGAGGCUGACCCAGCCAUGCCGCGUGCAGGACGAAGGCUUUCUGAGUCGUAAACUGCUUUUGCCAGGGAAGAAUAAGGGCCGUGCGCGGUCCGACUACGGUACCUGGUGAAUAAGCGCUGG
rnacentral:rRNA from 1 species